rnacentral:rRNA from 1 species
UACGGAGGGUGCAAGCGUUAUCCGGAUUUACUGGGUUUAAAGGGUGCGUAGGUGGGUCUGUAAGUCAGUGGUGAAAUCUCCGAGCUUAACUCGGAAACUGCCAUUGAUACUAUUUAUCUUGAAUACUUUGGAGGUAAGCGGAAUAUGUCAUGUAGCGGUGAAAUGCUUAGAUAUGACAUAGGACACCAAUUGCGAAGGCAGCUUACUACACAGUUAUUGACACUGAGGCACGAAAGCGUGGGGAUCAAACAGG